AGGGUGCCAGCGGCCGCAGCUGAAGUUGGGCCGAGAGCCGGCGACGGCCCCGCGCCGGGGUCGCAGGCCUGCAGGAGUUGAGGGCUGCACCUGCUCGCUGGAGAGGGAGAGGCAGAUUUAGUGGACGCCUGGCAUGGACUCGGACUGGCCUUUGGAAGCUCCCUGCCCUGACGGGGUUGCCUGUCACCACUGCGAAGUGAGGCUUGGCAGGACCUGCACCUGAGAAAGGCUGUGUGUGGUCUUGGGGUCCACACCUGCAGAGCUAACUUACUGCCAGACGGCGACUUACUGUGGGCCACCCUCAGUGAACCGGGGUGUCCUCAGCUGGCCCUACAGAGCACUUCUGUGCUGGGGAUGAGUAGGAACUCUGGGCGAGGAGGGUCCCAGCGCCGCCCCUCGAUACAGCCUGGCUCUGCCCUCUGCCCGUACUUACACCAGGUGGGAUCCCUGCCCUGCAUUGCCUGGGGAUUGGCUGGGCUUGGGCCCGCCCUGCUGUGGAACUGGAUGUUUUCAGGGAGCCCAGCCUUUCCUCAUGUCAACACAGUUCACAAUAUAGUUUUCAAAGUACAGUUUAAAACUCAAAAGUAAACUUUUCAGCAACUCAAAGGUUUGCUGAGUGA
rnacentral:lncRNA from 1 species